ensembl:lncRNA
AAGUGGCCAGACCUCUCCAAACUGUGGGGUUUGAGUGAGAGGUCUGACUGGCGUCUCCAAGUGGCCACACCUCUCCAAACUGUGCAUAGUUCCUAAGUAAUUUCAAUGCACCUUUCUGACUUAAAGAAGUCUUCAGCUAUAAGGUGCUUUUUUGAGCUCUCCUAGCUGGACCGUUGAGGAACUAGAGGAAGCACACUUGUAGUUGUUUUCUUUGGAACACAGCCCUUCCUCCUCGUCAUCACACAUUUACUGCUGUUGUUUAGGCAAACUAAACACUGUCAUUAUAAAUAGCAAUCUGGGUCAGGUGGGCAUCAUUUAAAAGCCUGUUCUGUUGCCAACAUGACUAGCUAAGAUAUAAAAUAUGACAUUACAGUGUUAGGCUUUCACAAGGCAAUUCAGAGAAACAGACCAUGAUGUUGGCGUGCAGAGAAAGGAGUGAUGACCGUAUUCACGUGUGUGUGCAGAGGCUAACAUAGUCUCAUUCUGUUCAGAACAACCCAGGGUAUGACGACAAGUCAUCUGGUAACUACAUCAAACAUAGUCUCAUUCUGUUCAGAACAACCCAGGGUAUGACGACAAGUCAUCUGGUAACUGUACAUCAAACAUAGUCUCAUUCUGUUCAGAACAACCCAGGGUAUGACGACAGUCAUCUGGUAACUACAUCUAACAUAGUCUCAUUCUGUUCAGAACAACCCAGGGUAUGACGACAAGUCAUCUGGUAACUGUACAUCAAACAUAGUCUCAUUCUGUUCAGAACAACCCAGGGUAUGACGACAAGUCAUCUGGUAACUGUACAUCAAACAUAGUCUCAUUCUGUUCAGAACAACCCAGGGUAUGACGACAAGUCAUCUGGUAACUACAUCAACCAUAGUCUCAUUCUGUUCAGAACAACCCAGGGUAUGACGAUAAGUCAUCUGGUAACUGUACUCACAGGCGAUGCAUGACAUCAAAGCGAUAUUUAUUAUAAUCCUCAACAUAAUGCAUAUUGUCCUCUUAAUUGACAGCAUUUUCACUCAGACAACAAAACAUUUGCAAAAGUUACGAGGAGGGAUGGGUUGCAGCUUUACGUUGCGUGAGGUUCUCAAGUUCAGAAUGUCUGUCAGUCAAAACUCAUACAUCGCUGUGAUGAGCAUUACGUUCCAAUUUAGGUAUUUAUUGGUGCCCAAAUCUGCCAUUUUCAACCCGGAUGGAUACGAGUACGAGUGUAAAGGGUUAAGGUUAGGAUUGGGGGAGGGGAAGCUGAUCCUAGAUCUGUACCUAGGGAGCUUAGUCCUGUGCGAUGUUGAAUGUCUGGGGUUAGAGGUUAGAGAUCGGGGUUUAAAGGUCAGGGGUCAGUCCACUUGCAUGUUACGUAGCAGCAGUCCUUUCUUCACCCCUCCCUGCAGCAUCCUGGCACCUAGACUACUGCCAGCCGUACCAUCA